UACGUAGGGCGCAAGCGUUGUCCGGAAUUAUUGGGCGUAAAGAGCUCGUAGGCGGCCUGUUACGUCUGCUGUGAAAUCCCGGGGCUUAACCCCGGGCGUGCAGUGGAUACGGGCAGGCUGGAGGCAGGCAGGGGAGAACGGAAUUCCCGGUGUAGCGGUGAAAUGCGCAGAUAUCAGGAGGAGCACCGAUGGCGAAGGCAGAUCUCUGGGCCGUAACUGACGCUGAGGAGCGAAAGCGUGGGGAGCGAACAGG
rnacentral:rRNA from 1 species